rnacentral:lncRNA from 1 species
CUAUUUAAUCGGCGGGUGUCAGGACUUUGGCACCAGUGUGACCUGUCUCUCCGAGCUAUUGGCAUCUUCCGGAGUUCCAUCGGCGCCAAGGAAGGUCUCGUAGUCAGUCGUCGCGUAGUCAUCUCGUAGUCAUCGAAGUCAGAGAUCAACAUGCGGGCGUGUGCGGGCUUACUCUUGCUCCUUGUGGUGUGGGCGGACGCUAAGAAGAGGUUUUCGCUGCCUCUAGCCGAAGGGGCAGUGUCUCAAGAUCAACUCAAUGACUCCAACUUGCCCAAACUACCGCUGGGAAAUCCUGACACGAUGGACAACGAUAUACCCGGAGAACCUCUAAGUCCUGAUGACUUCAUGGAAGGACUUGCCAUGGGUACGUGACCCUUCGAAAUGGUUCAUGACUUCUGAUUAUGGUUCAACUCUCUCCC